rnacentral:lncRNA from 1 species
CAGCAGAGUUCCUUGGUUUUGCGUGGGCAUUGAUAUAUAUUUCUCUGCGAAAAAAAGCAUUGGUGUUACUGGCCUUUCUUAUUUCUUUGUCAAUGUGGGUAAUUCAGUUCAGUUUGUGGUAAAUGUUGGCUUCCAUAUGAUUUUGCAGAUUAGACUUCCCCUUAGACGUGGUCAUGGAUGUUAUAUCAUAUGGUUGUCUGAUAUGUUUUCUCUUGUUGAUAAUGGGCAUUUGUUCGGAUUGAGUUCCAUAAACCAGUUAUUCUUCCAUGCUUGUAGGGUCUCCUGAUCUGCUUUUGCUAGGUCUGCGUCUGUGUCGUUUUUUAUUUCACUGUACAGAACGCAGUCAUC